rnacentral:rRNA from 1 species
AACUGCGAGUGAAGCGGGAAAAGCUCAAAUUUAAAAUCUGGCGGUCUUUGGCCGUCCGAUUUGUAGUCUGGACAAGUGCUUUCCGCGCUGGACCGUGUAUAACUCUCUUGGAACGGAACGUCAUAGAGGGAGAGAAUCCCAUCUUUGACGCGGACUACCAGUGCUUUGUGAUGCGCUCUCAAAGACUCGAGUUGUUUGAGAAUGCCUCUCAAAGUGGGUGGUGAAUUCCCUCUAACGCUAAAUAUUGGAGAGACACCGAUCGCGAACAAAUACCGUGAGGGAAAUAUGAAAAGCACUUUGGAAAGAGAUUUAAACACUACGUGUUGUUGCUGAGAAGGAAACUCUUGACAUCAGUCGCGUUGUCCAGAACUCCGGCUUGCUUUUGCUUGGGGCACUUUCCGGGUGACGGGUCAGCAUCGAUUUUGACCGUCAGAAAAGGGCUGGAGUAGUGUGGCCCCUCCGGGUGUGUUAUACACUCUGGUCACAUACGGAGGUUGGGAUCGAGGAACGCAGCGCGCCGCAGGGCGGGGGUUCGCCCACUUUCGCGCUUAGGAUGCUGGCAUAAUGGCUUUAAACGACCCGUCUUGAAACACGGACCAAGGAGUCUAACAUACCUGCAAGUGUUUGGGUGGAAAACCCUAACGCGCAAUGAAAGUGAAACUUGAGACCCCUGUCGUGGGGGGCAUCGACGCCCGGACCUGACGUUCUCUGACUGAUCCUCGGAACAGCAUGUAUGUUGCGACCCGAAAGAUGGUGAACUAUGCAUGAAUACGGUGACGCCAGAGGAACUCUGGUGGAUGCUCGUAGCGAUUCUGACGUGCUCAUCGAUCGUCUAUUUUGAGUAUAGGGACCUUCAGAA